rnacentral:rRNA from 1 species
UACGGAGGGGGCAAGCGUUAUUCGGAAUUACUGGGCGUAAAGGGCGUCUAGGUGGUCGUUUAAGUUCAAGGUGAAAGCCCUCGGCUCAACCGAGGAAGUGCUUUGAAAACUGGACGACUUGAGUUCGGGAGAGGAGAGCGGAAUUCCCAGUGUAGCGGUGAAAUGCGUAGAUAUUGGGAGGAACACCGGUGGCGUAGGCGGCUCUCUGGACCGAUACUGACACUGAAGCGCGAAAGCUAGGGGAGCAAACGGGAUUAGAUACCCGCGUA